GACGAACGCUGGCGGCGUGCUUAACACAUGCAAGUCGAACGGAAAGGCCCUUCGGGGUACUCGAGUGGCGAACGGGUGAGUAACACGUGGGUGAUCUGCCCUGCACUUUGGGAUAAGCCUGGGAAACUGGGUCUAAUACCGAAUAGGACCGCGCGCUUCAUGGUGUGUGGUGGAAAGCUUUUGCGGUGUGGGAUGGGCCCGCGGCCUAUCAGCUUGUUGGUGGGGUAAUGGCCUACCAAGGCGACGACGGGUAGCCGGCCUGAGAGGGUGACCGGCCACACGGGGACGGGGAUAAGGCCCAGAACCCCUGGGGGGGGAGGGGGGGGGAAAUAUGCCCAAAGGGGGGAAGGCCGAGGCAGCGACGCCGGGGGGGGGAUGACGGCCUUCGGGUUGUAAACCUCUUUCCCCAGGGACGAAGGGCAAGUGACGGUACCUGGAGAAGAAGCACCGGCCAACUACGU
rnacentral:rRNA from 1 species